UUUUUUUUUUACUAAGACUAAAAGAAUGUUAGUUUUUGUAGAUGUUGAAAGCCAGAGACAAGAUAACUUAAGUCUUUUGAGACUGAUGUGAGUUAUUUUUAGAAAAUAAAUGUUUCUGUUGUGUCCUGCCUGUUUACUUCACAUUUUGAUGCAACAACAGUAUGAUUACAUGUUCAUAUUUUAUUUAAACCAUUGAUGUCCCUUUUUUCUUUGCAGAACUCAAACUAACUUUGGAGUUAAGGACACAGAAGCCUGCUUGUGUGAGGAAGAGGUGAUUUUAUCAGCUUCUUUGGAAGAGAGGGAAAGACCGUUUAAGAACUCAAACUAACUUUGGAGUUAAGGACACAGAAGCCUGCUUGUGUGAGGAAGAGGUGAUUUUAUCAGCUUCUUUGGAAGAGAGGGAAAGACCGUUUAAGAACUCAAACCAACUUUGGAGUUGUCUGAUUUGGAGAGUCAUCAUUCUUGGUCUUCUCUCUUAAAGGAAUAGUUCACGCAAAAAAAUCAUUUACUUGCCCUUAUGUCAUUCCAAACCUAUAAGACUUUUGUCUGUCUUUACAACACAAAUGAAUAUAUUUUUCAUUUUCUCAUAAUUUUUAGUUAAUCCAUUAAGAGUCUAGAUAAUGAGUUAUUGUAAAAGUAAUCCAUUCGGAUAUUUAUAUAUAAAUAAAUCUUAAAUUAUAUGAUAGCGAACAUAUAUGUUCAAAAGAAAAUAUUGGUCUCCCAGACUAGCAAUGGAGGACAAAAAUUAAGAGAAUAUUAAAUAUAUUUAUUUGUGUUCCAAAAAUUAGCAGAGUUUGUAUGGUUCUGGAACAACAUGGGGGAGAGUAAAUUAUGACCAUUUUAAUUUUUUUGUGGACUAACCCUUUGAAGAGCAGCCCUCCAGUACAUGAGAAUUUGUAUGUCAUGUCUGUUUUAAUAUUUCAGUAAAGAAUUCGCUUUCUGAAAGCAAUAUAUUUAUUCAAACAAUAUCACAUGCGCCGUUUUAGACAGAGACAUUAAACAACCACACAAAGUGGUUGAAAUUAUAAAACAGAUUAUUUACCCAUCCUUACUGGUGUGAAUACAACUCUAUCUGAAAAUGGAUAGAGUUUAAUUUAAUGUUUCCUUUUUCAAAUGUGUUUCUCUUUUUAGGCCACUGAUGAAGAACAGGCGGUGACUGGGAUUUGUAGGUUUAAUGCCUAGCUCAAUUUGGGUUCAUUUGAGCCUAUUGCAAUGUAGUAAUUUUAAACCAUAAAAAAGAAACCCAGCAUGCUGGGUUAAACAUAAUAACCCAACUAGUUGGGUUAAAAUAACCCAGCGUUGGGUUUGUCCCUUUUUGACCAAGCGCUAGGUUGCCAAAAUAACCCAAAUUGGGUUGUUUUCAACCCAGCAGUUAGAGUGUAAUUUACGAAAAGUCUCUUAUUUCUCAUAAUAUUUUACAUUUUACAGUGGUAACAGUACAUAUACAUAUUACGGAAAAUUUAUUUUUCAGUAUAACCUUUUAAAGUAAUUAUAAAUUAAAUAUUUAAAUUAUUAAAUUAUAAUUACUUGAUAUGAAGAAUUAGUAGCAAGUCCAUAAGAACAAGUAGUAAUCAUGAAAAUAUAAAGCUAAAUUCUAUAAAAUCUAUUAAAUAUUUAAUGAAUAAAAAUGAUAUUUUAGGCAUAGAACAAAAUACAUAAUGAUAUGAGAAGUGUAUACCAUAGAGUUUUUUUUUUUUUUUUAAAUUUGCACUUUUCGAAGCUGUUGUAAGCUGUAUAAAAAACACAAGGUGGCUGAAUUUGCAUGCUAUUUAGACACAUUAGCUGAAGCUUAUAGACGUUCAUUAUUUUCACUUAAUUUAAUUAGUUUUUAGCAGCCCCUCUGAACUGUUAAGCCCCUCCUUAGCACCCUGAAAAAAAAAAAUCCUGGAGCCGCCACUGUUAAGUGCGAUAGUCAGCAUUCAAAUAAAUUUGAUCGUGAAUAAAUGUUACAUGUGCAUAAUUUAAAAUAGGCCUACAAGAAAACAUUUUUAUGCAUCCUAGUCAUGUAAGUCCAUUAACUUUGCAACAUUCGAUCUCUUUACUUAACGUUCUGAAUACUUUUGUAAAUAAUAGCCUAUUGUAAAUGCUCGACAUGAAAAUGCUACCAUGUCAUUCCAUGUUUGUUUUCAUAGUCUUGUUUCAGUUUAUAGUUUUCAUAGUCUUGUUUCAGUUUACAGUUUUCAUAGUCUUGUUUAAGUUUAUAGUUUUCAUAGUCUUGUUUCAGUUUAUAGUUUUUCAUAGUUUUGUCUUUUUCUUGCUUUGCCCUGUUACUCGUGUUUUGACCCUUUGCUCUGAAUUCUGGAUUACCUCUCUUGCUUAGCCC
ensembl:lncRNA